AGCGAACGCUGGCGGCAGGCUUAACACAUGCAAGUCGAGCGGGCACUUCGGUGUCAGCGGCAGACGGGUGAGUAACACGUGGGAACGUACCCUUUGGUUCGGAAUAACGCUGGGAAACUAGCGCUAAUACCGGAUACGCCCUUUUGGGGAAAGGCUUGCUGCCGAAGGAUCGGCCCGCGUCUGAUUAGCUAGUUGGUGGGGUAAUGGCCUACCAAGGCGACGAUCAGUAGCUGGUCUGAGAGGAUGAUCAGCCACACUGGGACUGAGACACGGCCCAGACCUCCACGGGAGGCAGGAGGGGGGAAUUAGGGAAAAUGGGCGCAAGCCUGAACCCGCCAGGCCGGGUGAGUGAUGAAGGCCUUAGGGUUGUAAAGCUCUUUUGUCCGGGACGAUAAUGACGGUACCGGAAGAAAAAGCCCCGGCUAACUUCGU
rnacentral:rRNA from 1 species